rnacentral:rRNA from 1 species
UACGUAGGGUGCAAGCGUUAAUCGGAAUUACUGGGCGUAAAGCGUACGCAGGCGGCUUUGCAAGACAGGUGUGAAAUCCCCGGGCCUAACCUGGGAACUGCAUUUGUGACUGCAUGGCUAGAGUUUGUCAGAGGGGGGUGGAAUUCCACGUGUAGCAGUGAAAUGCGUAGAGAUGUGGAAGAACACCGAUGGCGAAGGCAGCCCCCUGGGCCAACACUGACGCUCAGGCACGAAAGCGUGGGGAGCAAACAGG